UACGUAGGGUGCGAGCGUUUGUCCGGAAUUAUUGGGCGUAAAGAGCUUGUAGGCGGUUUGUCGCGUCUGCUGUGAAAAUCCGGGGCUCAACCCCGGACUUGCAGUGGGUACGGGCAGACUAGAGUGUGGUAAGGGAGACUGGAAUUCCUGGUGUAGCGGUGGAAUGCGCAGAUAUCAGGAGGAACACCGAUGGCGAAGGCAGGUCUCUGGGCAUUAACUGACGCUGAGGAGCGAAAGCAUGGGGAGCGAACAGG
rnacentral:rRNA from 1 species